GACGAAGGAUGCAAGCGUUAUCCGGAUUCAUUGGGUUUAAAGGGAGCGUAGGCGGAUUUGUAAGUCAGUGGUGAAAUCUUUGGGCUUAACCCAGAAACUGCCAUUGAUACUGCAGAUCUAGAGUACAGUUGCCGUUGGCGGAAUAUGACAUGUAGUGGUGAAAUACUUAGAUAUGUCAUAGAACACCGAUUGCGAAGGCAGCUAACGAAGCUGUAACUGACGCUGAGGCUCGAAAAGUGCGGGGAUCAAACAGG
rnacentral:rRNA from 1 species